CAUCGGAUCACAAGCAAAGACCUCCUGGGGACCUUCAAUGCAUCCCUUGACAAAGUUGUGCCUGGCCUGCUGAAACUGUACUGGUCUAAGAAGGGAGCUCUUGGUGAGGAGAUGGAAGACCUCCUGGAUAAACUUGAUGAACAGACAUCCAACACUGUGUCCAACGGGCACUGAGAGGCCUGCCCAUUUUCCUCAAGAGAAGAUGCAACAGAGGUUUUCCUGAAGUGCUUAGACACUGACAUUUUGGAACCAGUGUUGAACGGUGCAUCAGUUGCCAUCCUCACCAUCCUACAAGAUGACGAUGCUGAUACGUCUGUGCGAGAACAUGCAGUUGUGUUGGAAGGGGACAUCGUGCUACAUAACAUUCCAGAUCUCUCUACUGCCCUGGCACACCUCUUUGGCCUUCUGUAUGCCCUCAACAUUGAUUAUCCAAAGCAGAUGAGUUUUACCUUUGAAGCAAUUCAGGCCAUCUUAUUUUGGCCUGGUCGGACAAUAUGAAGGUGAAGUGGAUAAAUCAUUAUUCGAAAUGUAAAUUUUAGUCAGAUGAAUCUGUAUUGUUGAGAAUAUAUGGUGAAAAUUUGUCUUGUAGUAUUUUAAAAGAUUUGUUAUAGUGUUAGUUUCCUCUUCAUUGAUGGUAACAUUUCUAAGAACUUUUAACUUCCAUAGUUCAUCAUAGUAAGCCUGUGUAAAAUGUCAAUGUCUGGGUGCAUAGGCAAUCGUUUGUAGCACUACCCUAUUUAAUGUGCAA